AGGAGCCCAGCCCUGGACUCCCAGCUCAGCCCACUCAGUGAUCAGGACUGAACACAGCUGCUCACCAUGGAGAGUGUGCUCAGCUGGGUUUUCCUGGUGGCUGUUUUCAAAGGUGUCCAGUGUGAGGUGCAGCUGGUGGAGUCUGGGGGAGGUCUGGUGCAGCCUGGGGGUUCCCUGCGACUCUCCUGUGCAGCCUCUGGAUUCACCUUCAGUGACUACUAUAUGCACUGGGUCCACCAGGCUCCAGGGAAGGGGCUGGAGUGGGUCUCAUACAUUAGUUCUAGUAGUGGUACAAUAAACUAUGCCAACUCUGUGAAGGGCCGAUUCACCAUCUCCAGAGACAACUCCAAGAACACACUGUAUCUGCAAAUGAGCAGAGGACACAGCCACCUAUUACUGUGCCAGGGACACAGUGAGGGGUCCUCAGUAUCUCAAGGUGAGGAUGAACAUCAUGGUGGAAGACUGUGGAGGAGGGGAGCUGCUCACAUGA